CGACUCCCUCCUCCGGAGCAGUGACCGUCUCCCGCUCCUCGGCUCCCGCGGCUUCAGGCCUGUGGAAAUCCAGUCAAGGGAUACCGAAAUAGAGGGAGACAAUUACUUUGUGGUAAAGUAAAAGGUGGCUCAGCCGUUGAAGUUUCCAUUGGCCAAAGGAGUGCACCCAUCCAUCCCUGGGAGGUCUUGCAAAAGGACUCCACAGCAGGAAGGCUUUCUGCCAGGCCCGGGGGUUGUGCUUUCAAGCACCAGCAGUCACCACUUUCUAGCUUGUGCAAGUGGAACUGGGAUACAGAUCAGAGCUGCAGUCGUGGUGAG